CGUAUUACUGUACCGUUUACGCGGAUAUUGCUAAAAUAGUGUUUUUAUUGUUGUUUCAGCUUCAGCAGUAGCGCAGUAGCAAUGGUGGAAGAGUGUUCUAAUAAAAAAGACCAGUAGUUCGGAUUCGGUUUUUGUGUGAAGUAUGUUACGUGUUGUGAUUUCUAAAGGACGUAGUUGGAUUACAUGUAUCACUAAUGCGUAGUGAGAGACUUCAGAGAAGACUGAAAACUUAUGUUAACAAUUCUAUCAAUGUAAACUUUCGGCAGUCCAAACCCAGUAGUGUGUUGUAAACCACUGUCUUGUUUCUCUCUGGCUGCUUUCACAGCUCGGCGUAGAAGAUGAAAAAUGAAUCAAGAAAAUGGCAGAAAAAGUAGUCCGAAGACUCUGACAUCAUGUAACAUUCUGGAGAAGUUAUGUGAAGAAAGUUGUUGAUAAUCUGCUUGUGGAUAACCAAAGUUUCACAUGGUAUAUCUUCAUGGUUUAUCUAUGUUAGCUUCUCAGUGUCCCAAUAAAAAUCCAGUACUUUUUUGGUUGGCUAUUUUUUUAUAAAUAAACUAUCAGUUUAA